UACCAGGAGCAAAAUUAUUGUGGCACGUUGUACGUCAGGAUAUUGCCAACAUUUCAAGUGCCAAAUUUUCAAGAAUUCGCUACACGAUGAAAUGGAACGUUUCGACUAAGAUUCAGCUCUCAGAACUUUCCGUGAAAUGCAAGGUGUUAAGCCCCGUUCUUGAAUGCGCUGCGGGAAAAUAUUGACAGGACUUACCUACAGAUCUUUUUUUCCCGAAACCUUUCAAAUGGGAUAAGUUAGCCUAUUAUACACGAGUUGUGGCCAAUUUUCACCCGCACUGGUCACUGCGAUACUUCCAGAACGCGACGUAUUUUCUACAUUGAGGUCCGUAACAGUAGAUAAUCAAAGAUCGUUUCAAGCAAAUUAUCAGGUAAAAUCUGUCGAGGAAAUAUAAUUAAAUUUUACUAUUUAUCUUUGAGUGCACAACUGCACAAUAAUCUGUUUAAAUACUGUUCGCUUAUUCCUUGCUCGGCUUUUUCAAAACGCGUUUUACGGUAGUUUUCUCUUCUAUUUCAAUCUUUUUUUCUGCUAAAUGAGAUGCAGUUAAAAACGAAAGAAAAUUUUAUGAUAUAAUUCAAUACAAAAGUUACCUUACGGGCAAAAUAAAGACAAACUCAGAACUGCACUACUGACGUAGUAUUCCAUGACGAUAGUCACAUUAGCUGCAGUUCUCCAUUUCAGUCAGUUGUCCGGGUGAGGGUGGGAUCAUUUACUUUUGGCUUACACACUUCUUCCUUCCUAACUUGUUAUUUUUCUUUCUUGCUUUCUCUUCUUUCCCAGUUUUUCUGUUUGUAUUUGAUAGUUAAGCUAGGAUCCAUUUACCUGCACAGAAUUGCUAUUAGAAUAGCAAACAGAUAAAGAUCUAAAUCCAAUGGAAAAAAAAACUUUUUCAUGAAGCGGAAUAAAGCUGAUCGCCUAUCUCCCUGAUAGGCGAUCAGCCCAACUCACUAGCGAAACUGGUGGGGAAUCUUUGAACCCCCUACUAAACACCCGCCCCCCAGCAAAAGGGAUAGGACGAUCGUGCUUUCCUAUUAUAUCGUGAUCAGAUGUAUAGGGAUUUAAAAUAAGCCCGACAAAAUAAGCUGACUUUUUAUUUAUUUAUUUAUUUAUAUAUUUUUUUCAAAAAUCUAAAUAAAAUACGAUUUGUAUUCAAAUUUUGAUGGAUAUUUAUGUGUUAGAAGACCCAGAGGCCAUUUCAGUGUGGUAUCUUGCCCUACGUGCAAUAGAAAUCAGACGUAUACAAUGGUAUGGAUGGAUCGGGCUGGGCAAAUCAAUGUAAGCGUUCCAUCGACUCGAUCAGCGUCUACCAACGAAAUCAUCCUUUCUUCAUCCGAGCUAUUAUUAAAUAUUAGGUAGGAAAAGGUAUUUAGAAAAGGCCUGUUCGAAAGAAAAAAAAACGAAAUAUUGUUGUUUCAAACCGAUUUAAAAUAACGAUCGAUCGUUUGCCGUCCGGACGUAGGAAGGCCGUUCCAAACAAGCUCCUAGUACUAUCACUUAUUUCCAAUUCAAUCCUGAUGGAAUCUUCAGGGAUGUACUUGGAAAAAUGUCCCAUUGCGUAAAACAUAGGCUGCUUAUAGAACUCGUCUACGGUGUUGUUCACAAUAAUUGGUGCGUCUACGUAGUUCUCAGCCCAGUUUGGUCCACCACCUUCGUCCAAAACAAGAUUCCAAUCCACCCAACCGGCAACCCAAUGGUUGAGGUCCUAGUGUCAUAAACCAUGGGAGCCAAGUAUUACUGUUAGCAAACCGUUAGUAAAUUGAAUAUCAAAAGAGAAAGGAGAAGUCAACCUCAAUAAUGUCAUGUGCAUAAGAUUCCAGCCGUUCCCACGAACCCAUAAUGACUGGUUCUUCAUAGGGUCCUGAACAAUAAAAUAAUGUUUUAUUGCUGUAUUUUAUAAGAUUUUCGUUUUUAAAUAUGAAAUCUGUGAGCUUACCAUUACAAGCUUCUGUGGCAAGUAUAAACCGGUCAGGAAAGGCUUCAUGUGUGGAGGUCAAAACGGAAGGUGGCACCAGAUUGUUUGCGUACCAAUGGACACCGAAGCCGGAGACGUAUUUAUUGGCUUCAGGAUCUGCUAGUACCUGCGAAAUGCGGCAUAAACGUCCGCUGGUCAUCCACAACCAUGAUGUUAACGUCACCAAACCCUUUGUUAGCCAACGUUGGGCCAAGGUUUUGGCCUACAAACAACGCUUGAUCUUCGGGGCUCCAACCCAUACAAUUCCAUGAACAUCCUGAAAUUUUGAACAUGUGUGAUUCGUGUACAUAUUGAUUUACGAAUAAUGGAAGGUUACUGCAUACCUGGAACUCGUCCGUUAUUAGGCUCGUUCUGUGCAGUGAGUGCCCAAAAAUUGAUGUCAUGCUUCCGAUAUUCUUCAAAAAACCUGUUUACAUGAUCUGAUUACUAGUUUCAUGGGUUAAUGAUACAAUAAAGAGUUUUUAUAAUAUA